ACCGCUCAUGCGAGCCGGGCCCUGAGUGAGCAGAGGAGGAGGCUGCCAAGGCUGAGCGGCCGCUUCUGCUAAUAGGUCCGGGGCCGAGAGGGCUCAGGAACCAUUUAUUCAUCUCUUCGAGAGGGCUACUUCAUUCUCGUGAAGUUGGAGCGGAACUGAACCAUGAGGUGUGAGAGUGACUCAGAAGAGCCUGAGGGGCAACUGGAUCCCAUGCGGCAGCAGAUGUACUUCCACACGGUCAGAAAGUGCUGCAGUAAAUGGGGUGAAGGAAUGAUAUGACCAGUGAAGAUCAAAGAAGAGUAUCAGAUUUGUCUGUAACAAUCUGUUAUUCCCAGUGGAAAUUAUUUUAUCUCUCUGAGAUGCGGUUGGCACUUCUAUCAUAUAAAGGCAGCAAGAUUAUCUUCAAGAAAAACAGCUCUAAAAUCCAUCCAUCCUAUUGACGUCAAUUGCUUAGGAAGGGAGUGAAUACAGAAAACUUCGUAGAAAGUCAGCUCUGCGUGUUUUAUCUCUUUUAGAUUUCCAAGUGAAAACAAUUACUAGAAAGCCUGGGGUUGUUGCUGAUUAUAAAACAGUGAUUUUCCCUCUCCUGUGAUUUUAAAAAAUUCUGUAGUUUGAACUAUCUGAAUCAAAGUUUAAACUUUGAUUUAUAUAGCUGUAUAAGAAUUUUGCAAUGUCAACUGUGAAGUUUGAAUUGGAUAAUCUUUCUCCUGAAGGAUUCAGACAUGAGCAUGCGUCCAGCUCAGAUUUUAUUUUAACCUGCUUGACUGAACUUUCUGGUGAUUCUAGUCAAUGGGAACUUCAGCACUCCAAUUCUGUCCCUGUUGGUAAGCUAAACUUUAGAUUGAUAUUUUUGAGUAUCUUAAUUUAGAUCUGUACUUUUUAAAUGCCAGAUGUGUAAAAAGUAAAUCUUGAUGUCAUUUACUUUGCAGUGGUGUAACUGAUGUCAGUUUUAAUUUCUUGAGUUAUUUUUUCCUGAAAUAUAUAAAUACUUUUAUAGAAAAAAAUAGAGGGUUUUCCAAUAGAGUAAAAUGUCAGAAAACAAAUUCAAUGAACUAAAAAAUGUUAAUGGUGAAGUAGAUUUUGUUUGUCUGAACACUCAAGUCUAUCAUGGCUUAGUUUUGUUUGGGAUGACUGAUGAAAUCAGGGGAUUUAUCCAUAAACUGCAAAAAAAAAAAAAAAAGUCCUGCCAUCUUUCAUUCCUCUUUUUUAUUUCUGUUUCCUUUUACAUAAUUAUAUCAAGAACAAUAUAUGCUUUGCCUCUCUUUAAGAACAAGAUAGUAUUACUUCUGGUUUUGUUGUUUUAUUUGGAUUCUGUGUGAGCUGACAGUGUUAAUAGAAUUUAAUGUGAAGGGUUUCUUUUUUGAUACCUUUGGGAAUCUCAGUUUUCCUUCUUGCUCUGCAAUGUUGAGUAAAUAAUGCUAGACACUAAUAGUUUGCAUUCAUCAAAAAUUUCUGAGGGUUUCAUUUGGAUG